GUACACUCGGCCUCUUUUCACUCCAGACGCGAGAUGUAGCAUAGGCGAGAUUCUCGUCUACCGUGGGAGCAUGCUGCCUGUAGCAGAUGGGGCUGAUGGCCGGACCUCCAUCAAAGCCCGUCUCGCUAUGCAGCAUUGCUCCCGGGCCCUCAACAUCUCCAGCAUCUGCGCCUCUUAACAAUGCAACCUUCAAUGAGCAGGUGAUGCAGGAUUAUGUACAUAUUCGCACUCUGGCGCAAGAACUGCUCGGUGCGAAUAUUAAAUUCACUUAAUAUCUGUGGCGAGCAGCUCUCUCGCCGCUUGCCGCUGCUCCCGCGGUAUCUGGGAGUCAAGAACCUAAACUGCCUUCACGCAAAGCCUCGCCAUUGAAAUAUGCAGCGAACGUGUCCCACCUCUUGCCAAGAUGCAUCGUCGAAGCAUUUUACAGCAGGAAAAUCGCGACAAGCUACAAGUAAAGAAGUCGUUAUGUUUUUUUUUUUAAUAGCUUAGGCUAGUUUGCGUUUUGCAAAUUUUUUUUUCUCGUAGGAUAAGAUAUGCAGCGGAUCAGUCUUCAAGAGUUUUGAGUAUGACUGGUUGUAUAUGCAUAAGAAGUAAAAUUAUGGUUUUUUUUUUCUUAGUGUAAGUACAUACAGGUUAAUGUAUAACAGCCGAGUUAUCCGAAAGCUUUCUUUAGGUUAUAUUUAGGAUAUAUUUAGACAAGCUUAGGUUUAGGGUAUCAUCGAUAUGCAAACGGAUUGACUAAUGUGCCUUCACCUCGGAAUCAAAUCGCUUAAGAAUUGUGGAAACAGACAAUUCCACAGGGUAAACGUUUCGCUAAUAUAAGUUUACUUGGUAUUAUCAAUAAGAUAAGAUAUGAAACGGAUCAGUCCUAUCAAUGAUUGGUUUGCCUUAGAAGAUUAUAUUUUGGUUUGUUAUUUUUUUUUGUAGGAUAAUAUGUGCAACGGAGCAACUUGGGUAGUUCUUUUUUUUAGGAUUGAUUCUUUAUCAAUUUUUUGAUCUUUGUCCUUACUGUUAAUAUAGAAGUACUGUACGGUUCAUGCAGUUUUAUGUACAACAAAAUAGUUGUACCGUAGCUUUAUAUGGGUUCAGGGUAAUGUUAAGAUAGACUUAAUUUAGUUUUAGCAUGUCAUUUAUUUGCACGCGGAUCGGAUAGUCGCCUCAAAUCAAUUGAUGUGAAAAGAAACAAACGAACUUCGUAAUGUACAAAACUACAACAGUAUAUGCGAGUUUUUUUAGAUUAAGGUUAACAAGCAUUCUUAUAAAUAAGUUUUUACAGCACGUUAUUUUAAGGAUAUCUUUCACCACAAACGAGUCACUUUUGGGUUUUGGGAAUAUAUGUUCAUGUUAUUAGUUAUUAGUUUUAUUAAUAGUUUCGUUAGAUACGAAAUUACUGUUAUGCCCAUUGUACUUUUAGUAUACCGCGUAACCUACCAUUUAAGACUGAUUUGUAUAUGAUUUGGGAGUUGUCUAUAUAAGUUUUAGCGUUGCUCCAGCGAGUCCGGAGACGUGCAGCCGUGUGAUCUAUCACCCGAAGUUAAUAAUCAAUCUAAACCAAAAUCUUCAGGUGGUAGAAGUUUGUUGGUGCCAUCUGAAGCUUUCGAUUAGAUUGAUUAUCAUUAAUUUCAGAUGUAUGACGCUUCGCAGUGUAUACGAACGAUUUACGUACGUAAUUUGGAAAUUAGUUUCUAAUUGCCAACCAGUAAAAUCGUACCGCCGAGCGUAUCUGUGGCGUCAUACAAAUUGAGACAUGGUUGCUUACCGCCUUGUUAAAAUAUAGUUUAGAUUUAGCGUAAGAUUUAGUGCCACCGAACGAAAAAACAAUCUGAUUAGUGAUAGCUGACGUGAGUACGACAUCAUGUCAUCUUUCAGCAAUCUGAUUGGCACAGCCACACCACUUAUCUGUAUCAUCACAGGGUAGACGCUGCCUUGCUUAGUUUGUAAGAUUUAUACUUAAUAUAUUUUGCAUGCUAUUUCGUUCGCAGUGUCAUGUCUACGCCUCACAGACCCACUUAAUGAUACUUGCUUAUUUUAUUUUAGUUUGUAUUUUUUUCUUUACUUUUUUUUUGUAUUUGUACACAAAGUACAAAUUUAGAUUUAAUAAAGCAGCACGUCAUUCCAA